rnacentral:lncRNA from 1 species
UGGGAAGGCCUUGCACAUCACCUGGUCUGGUGCAACCUGUAGAUUCAUGACGUCCGUGUAUAUGUUCAGAUGAUUGAUUGGAUCGGUGGUCCCAUCAUAUUCUUUGAUCCUAGGAUACUUAAAUCUGUCUGGCAAGGGGAAUGUUAAUAUCUCGGGAGUAAAUGGAGGGUUGGGACUGAAUCUUGUCAUCCCUUUGUUGCCCUGAAGUAGGCCCGCCGUAAUUCCUUCUUGAAUAAUCCUAGCGAAUUCCCCGGGCUCCAUGGUCACUGAUCUCAAGGCCGAGGUCACAUGGGGUAUACCCGAGGCCCCUGCUCCGCCAUUGUCAGGGACAUGAGCUCGAGCUCGAGCAUCAGCCAUAAAACCCCCCUGGGGUACUGGUGUGGGUGACGGAUGCGAAUUUCUUUGACUUAGCAGCUGAGUCAGUGUGGCGACCUGUUGUCUGAGCUCUUCAAAGGCUCCAGCAGUGACGACUGCCGGCUGGGGCUCUGGCACUUCUGAUGAUUCCUCUUGAGGAACAGGGAUAUCCUCAGGAGGGGGUUGGUUUGGAGCGGAUGAGCUUGCUGGUGGAAGACCUGAACGUGUGUUUACCAUGGCUUUUGGUAGCGUUUCC